rnacentral:rRNA from 1 species
AGGAAACAGAUGCUAAUACCGCAAUUAAAACCUAACACCGCAUGGUGUAGGUUGAAAGAUGGUUUCGGCUAUCUACUUUAGGAUGGACCCGCGGUGCAUUAGUUAGUUGGUGAGGUAAAGGCUCACCAAGACCGUGAUGCAUAGCCGACCUGAGAGGUAAUCGGCCACACUGGGACUGAGACACGGCCCAGACUCCUACGGGAGGCAGCAGUAGGGAAUCUUCCACAAUGGACGAAAGUCUGAUGGAGCAACGCCGCGUGAGUGAAGAAGGUUUUCGGAUCGUAAAACUCUGUUGUUGGAGAAGAAUGUAUCUGAUAGUAACUGAUCAGGUAGUGACGGUAUCCAACCAGAAAGCCACGGCUAACUACGUG